CCUUAUGAAUUUAAGCGUCUUACCAAGCGGAGGAAAUGAAGCUAAGGAUUCACGCAGUAGUGGCAAGCAAAGAGGGAAGGACCCUGUGCCAAAUCCCCGUCCGGCAGUUGGACAUGGGAAACGGGGCGUAUGGAAGAUUGCUUGGGCAGUGUCUCAGCCCGUAGACGCCGUGAGGCCGGUAACGGCCCCAUUACGCCUGUGUCCGGUCUUCUCAGAGUUGUUUUUUUUGGGAAUGUAGCCCAAAGUGGGUUGUAAACCAUCUAGGGCUAAAUACUGGCAUGUGACUGAUAGUCAACAAGUACCCUAAAG
rnacentral:ncRNA from 1 species